ensembl:processed_transcript
GUUUGGUGGGCGGGGCCGUGGCGGGCUCAAAUGGCGGAGGCGCUGGGCGCCUAGGCCGUCGGGGGCCAUGAGCGCCGCCCGGCCCCAGUUUAGCAUCGAUGAUGCCUUCGAGCUGACCCUGGAGGACGCGGGGCCUGGGCCCGAGUCCAGCGGGGUCGCCCGCUUCGGGCCGCUGCACUUCGAUCGCCGGGCUCGGUUCGAGGUGGCUGAUGAAGACAAGCAGUCCCGGCUACGCUACCAGAACCUGGAAAAUGAUGAGGACGGAGCCCAGGCCUCUCCGGAGCCUGAUGGGGGAGUCAGCACCAGGGAUUCUGGGCACAUGUCUGUCCGCAGCUCGCAGUGGUCCUUCAGCACCAUCAGCAGCAGCACACAGCGCUCCUACAACGCCUGCUGCAGGUGAGAGCCUCCUCACUUGGGGUUCAGCUUCCAGGUAUCUUCUGCUUCUGCCUGCCAGCCAACCCUGGCUCCCUGCCUGCUUCACCUCCUUGACCUCCAUCUUGCUCUCCUGCCACCCAGCUGGACCCAGCAUCCUCUGAUCCAGAAAAACCGCCGGGUAGUGCUGGCCUCCUUCCUGCUUCUGCUGUUGGGACUAGGUGUCUCCAGCGCCAUCUUCUUUGUGCCGGGCAUCCUGCUGCUAGUCCCGGGAGUCUACCAUGUGAUCUUCAUCUACUGUGCUGUCAAAGGCCGCCAGGGCUUCCAGUUCUUCUACCUGCCCUACUUUGAGAAGUGAGCUGUAACUGGCCAGUGGCUUACCAGUGAUCCAAGGCCUCAGGUCACCUCCACGUGUCCACAGGGUAUUCCUCCAACCUACACCUGGUUCUUUUCCUUUCACCUGGAAAGCAGAGGCCCUCUGGGACCCUCACAACCACCAGGCCCCUUUGGAUUUGCUCAGGAAGUUUGGGGCAUGCCAGCCUGGGAAUAUUGCCUCUUACCUGAUGUGUGCCUUAACUUAUUCCUGGGUCCUGGACUCCUGGGUUGGUGUAAUUUUGUGCUAAUAAAAGGGUAAUUAUUUC